rfam:Triticum urartu cultivar G1812 contig698065, whole genome shotgun sequence.
GAAGUACUCCCUCCGUUCCGAAUUACUCGUCGCAGAAAUGGAUGUAUCUAGAUGUAUUUUAGUUCUAGAUACAUUCAUGUCUGCGACGAGUAAUUUGGAACGGAGAGAGUACCAG